rnacentral:rRNA from 1 species
AAUGAACGCUAGCGGGAUGCUUUACACAUGCAAGUCGAACGAGUGGCGGACGGGUGAGGAAUAUAUCGGAACGUGCCCAGUAGCGGGGGCUAACUACUCGAAAGAGUGGCUGAUACACCAUUCUAUUAGAGCGGCCGAUAUCGGAUGAGCGAGUUGGUGGGGUAAAGGCUCACCAUGGCAACGAUCAGUACCUGGUUUGAGAGGACGCCCAGCCACACUGGGACUGAGACACGGCCCAGAUGCCUACGGGAGGCAGCAGUGGGGAAUUUGGGACAAUGGGGGAAACCCUGAUCCAGCCAUCCCGCGUGUAUGAGAAGGCCUUCGGGUUGUAAAGUACUGUUGGUAGAGAAGCGGUACCUGCAGAAUAAGCCCCGGCUAACUACGUGCCAGCAGCCGCGGUAAUUC